UCCAAGUAGCUUUCGUUCUUCUGUUCUUCCUCUUUACACUUCUUUUACUUUUUUUUUGUCUUUGUUUUUUGCUUUUGUUUUAGUCCUUACGUUUAUUUCUUCGUCUUGCAGGUAUUUCAGAAGCGAAUUAUGAUAUGAUCAUCUGGCCACAGGUUUUAGGAUGAUGCUUUUAUCAAUCAUUGAUGGCUUUCACUGAUUGUUCUCAAGCGUUCUCAUGGGUUCAUUUGCUCUAAGCACAUCUCUUUUAUUUGUUUCUCAAUUUUUUUAUUUGGUUCUGUGUUUCUAUUUUCCUUCUAGUUACAUGUUAAUAUGUUUCAGGUUAAUAAAAUAUGGCUUGGAGCCAGACAACGCAGCAGAUCACUACUCUCUCUUGGUUCCUAGUUUGCAGAAUGCUAAGAUACCAAAUCAUGAGAGGCUUUAAAGAUUUCACUUGAGCUCCAGAAGCUUCUUAUUGACAACAGUUCUCCUGAUACGUUUCCGUCCCAUUUUGGAAACCAAUUUCCUGUUUUAAGCUUGCUUAUGGACCCGGCGUGGUUAUAUAUGGGGAAGAGUACAUUAUUUAAUAAUUUAAACAUAUGUUUUUGUCUUUGUUUGGGGUUUAGAUACUAUCAUCAAAGAGUGCCUCUUGUCAUAUCUGUUUGCUGAACAGCUUCUGUUGACAGACAGACAUGGUAUAUGUUGUAAUGAUGGGCAUACUAUUUCGAAGAUAUAUCCAAACAUGUCGAGUUCCCUUUGGAGCUGGAAUUGCUCCCCUUACACGAGCACUAGUAACCAAGAUUCCCAAUUUGUUUCUUCUGGUUUCUACUGGUAUUUCUGCCAUUCUGGAGCAUCUUGGGAAUAUUGCAUAUUUUGGUCAUUACUCCUCUUAUGUGAGGGUCAGUUCCUUAGACAUGGCAUAAGUCUGAUGACGCCCAAGGUUGUUCGCUGGGGGCGAUCAGUCUGUGCCAACAUUCACUAAUUCGUCCAGUUUCAGCUCACAGUCAAUGUCGUCUCUCUCGUAAUAAAUGCCGUAGCUGCUAUUUCAGGUUUGAGUUUCUGUUGCAUUCAGCUCUAUUCCCGUGUGCUUCCAAGGAGCCAAUUAGUUCAGCGUAAGUGACAGUCUUUUAGAUCUUUUAGUUUCUUCCUUUAGAGAAGAUAAGGAAGCAUAGCUUUUAGGCAUAGAAGCAAGCAUUUUGACAACUAAAUCAAAGUUAGUUUUGCCUUCUCCUAAUGCUCUCAUUUCAUUUGCUACAGCUUGGAUCCUAUCAGAUAUUGCUUUGACUUUUUCUCCUUCUUUCAUUUUCAGAUUUCAAACUCUCUUCUUAGGGAUUGAAGUUUAACAGUUUUGACUUUCUCAUUACCUUGGUAGGAUUGCUCCAAGAGUUUCCAGGCUUGAUCUGCUAAAGUUUCAGAGAGGACUUCAUCAAAAACGAUGUCUGCUACAGCAUGCUGAAUGAGUUGAAGGGCAGCAAUGUCUUUGGUUUUAAGCGACCCUUCCAAUUUACAGUAUCUUUUCCUUUUUCUGCUCUAGGAGUUGUAUGUAGGUUCGGCUUGGUACUCCAUCUUUGACAACAUCCCAGAGAUCUUUAUUCAUGAGUGUAGUUUUCAAUCUUUGCAGACCAGAACUCGUAAUUCUGGCCAUCAAAGACUACAACAAGUUGAGAUAAUUGCAGGCACAGGCUCCUAGGCUAUCUAUCAAGUUGAGCUCUGAUACCAUGUUGAACUCUUGCUCAUAUCUUCAGGUAUGUAUUCAUUUGUCAGGUAAUCAUUGUUGUUGAGUUACCUCGGUUAAUUCGCUUCGACUACAAAGCUUGACUGGAAACAACGGCUGAUGUGUGUUGCCAUCGGGGUUAUCAGGUAACUUUUAUUAUAUAUUGUUUACAUAUAUGCAUGUUGGAUACAUAUCUUAUAUAGAUAUAUGUGCAAUGCUUGUUGAAAACACAACUAACGGCUUGCUGAACCGACGAUACGGACAACAGACAUUCAUAGAUAAUCAACUUUUCUUAGUGUGUGAAUAGGCAGGCAGCUUUGUUUCUCUGCAGUGUUGUCUCUCCACUGUAUGUGGUUUUGGUCUCUGAUAUAGGAGGUCCCUUGAGUACUCCCCCGAACAGCUUUAAUGGCAACAGAGUGGCUCCUCCUUUUCAAUCCAUCUGCUUUCAUCACAAAUCGAUGAUGUCCGUUUGUUCUUGAAUGUAUUCUGCAGAUGCAUCACUAGUUGUUUCUAUACUGCGUUUGAAUUUGAUUCAAUGUUACUAUAUUUAGGCACAUCAAAAUGGGAAAGACUUAAAAGAUCAUAGCUACAACAAUACUAUUCGUAUUUCAGUUCACCCAACUCUCUCUCUAAACCAUAUGUCUAAACAAGAUAACACAAGAUCGUUAAACACAGCGGUCUCCAGU